GUUGUGAGAACCGGUUUAGCUUAAUUGUGAAGGGCAGAUAUCUUCUGGGAGCAGUUUAACUAGAGUUGUAUCUUUAGCUGUGUUGUCCAUGGGAAAUAGGAUUUGAUUACUGUACACAUUCCACUAUCUUUCAAAUUUUAUUGAACUUAUAACGUUUUGAGUUUUUUUGGUGAGAUAUUGUUUUCAUGCACUUACCAGGAUUCUUUAAUUUUGUUUAUCUUUUUUCUUCCAAAUUUUUAAUUUUGUUUUUUUUAUUACAGAGCCGAAUUUUGAAGCAUGCUGGUGAUUUGGCUGCUGCUGCUGCAUUGGCAGAUGAAGCAAGAUGUAUGGAUCUUGCAGAUUGCUACACCAACAGUGAAUGUGUUAAGCGUAUGCUUCAGGCUGAUCAGGUAUUGUGACAGUAAUUUUCAUCAUUUAUUAUUUGAUCUUAUUAUGAAUUAUUGCGUUCAUGCUGCUUUAAAUGUUUUGUAUGUGCUUCAUGCUUUAUUUUCUCUUUCGAAGGUGGCUUUAGCUGAGAAAACUGCAGAGUUGUUCACUAAAUAUGGAGAUCAGCAUACCAACCUUCAUGACAUGCAGUGCAUGUGGUUUGUCUCUGUUUACUGCUGGAUCUAUUUACUUGUUGAAGCAAGUUAUGUUGGUUGUUGCUUCUAAGUAUUUUCUGUUGUACUUUGAAGGUAUGAGCUGGCUUCUGGUGAAAGUUACUUCCAUCAAGGUGAUCUUGGACGGGCUUUAAAAAUUUUUUUGGCUGUGGAGAAGCACUAUGCUGAUAUCACUGAAGACCAAUUUAACUUCCAUUCUUAUUGUUUGAGGAAAAUGACUUUACGUACAUAUGUUGAAAUGCUUAAAUUUCAAGAUCGAUUUUAUUCACAUCCAUAUUUUCAUAAAGCAGUAGUUGGUGCAAUUAGAUGCUAUAUAAAGUUGUAUGAUUCCCCUCCAAAGUCAACCACUGAGGAAGACGAUGAGAUGUCCAAGUUGCCUCCUUCUCAGAAAAAGAAAAUGAGGUAAAAAUUGAGAAAAGCAGAGGCUCGAGCUAAGAAAGAGGCUGAAGGUAAAAAUGAAGAAUCCAAUGCUAAUAGUGUCUCAAAGACUGGGAAACGAAAUGUGAAACCUGUUGAUCCAGAUCCCCAUGGGGAGAAAUUGUUGCAGGUUCCGUGUGCCUUUAUUUAUUUCUUAGA